CAUUUUCUUUUAGUACCUGCCAUCUAGAAAACACUGUGGUGGCAGUGGGAUGAUAAGAGAUGAAUAAAUCCCUGCUGUGGAGUUUACUAUCUAGUUGAAGACGAGAAAUGUGUUAUGUAAACAACUUCUUAUAAUAAAAUAAAUGCUAUAAUAGAGACAUGCACAAAACGCUAUCAGACCACAGAAGAACACUUACUUCUACGUGGAGGAAAUAUGAAAGACCUCAAGGAAGAAAUGUCAUUUGGAAAGCACCUAGAAGGAUGAGUAGGCUCUCAAAAGACUGAGAGGGGACAGGAUUUCUGACUGAGCACAGAGACUGGACAGGAUGGAUAUGAGAGUAAAUAUCAAGUUCUGAAAAUGUAUGGCCCUAAAACACAGGAAGAUAAGAUCCUUGUUUGUCAAUGGCUUUGCAUUUGGAUGGAAUGGUAGAUAUACAGUGGCUAGCGAAUGAACAAUUCUGAAGAAAAAAAAAUCACUCUAAGGUUUUUAUCUCUUCUUCUGAAUACAAAGGCCAUAUAUCUACCCAUUUUCAACAUUUGUUCUUACUUAUAUACAAUUUCUAUUCCAUUUUAUGUAAUAAAUAAAAAGAAACUUUACAUAUUCCAGCUAGGAAUGAAGGUAAUCGGAAGUCCAAAUAAAUCACUUAACUACUCUCAGGAAGCAUUACCUUCCUAAGUUUAUUAUCUGAUAUUUGCAAAAUAUUGUUAAAUUACUAAAAAUUUAGCAAAUGGUUUUGUACAUGUAAGUCUUUCAGUAGAAAUUUGGAAUCUGGGUAACAUGAAGAGUUCUCCAAUAUCAAAAGGGCUUUUGUUUUAGAAAUUCAACAAGAACAAAAUAGAAUUAUUCCUAAAAGGAAAGCUUUCUGUACA